UACAGAGGGUGCGAGCGUUAAUCGGAAUUACUGGGCGUAAAGCGUGCGUAGACGGUUAUCUAAGUCGGAUGUGAAAGCCCCGGGCUCAACCUGGGAAUUGCAUUCGAGACUGAAUAGCUAGGGUGCGGUAGAGGGAAGCGGAAUUUCCGGUGUAGCGGUGAAAUGCGCGAUAUCUGGAGGAACACCGGUGGGCGAAGGCGGCGAUCCUGGACCGGCAUUGACGCUGAGGAGCGAAAGCCAGGGGAGCAAAGCGGG
rnacentral:rRNA from 1 species